ensembl:lncRNA
GAGACGCAGCGGAGCGGAGGUAGACACAGCCAGGUUCAUAUUGGAUAUGAGGAAGUUUUUUCAAAAACAGGAGCCACAUUCAGUCCAUAGAGGGAGAGAGGAAAGAGGGGAACAUGAGGAGAAAGUACAAGAUCAGGAAGAACCAGGUAAGAAAACAGACAGGGAACAGUGACAGGCAAAACAAAAAAAGUUAAACUGGCAAAGAAAAAAAACAACUAAUUUUACUCGUACAAUCUGGAAGUUGUGUUCUCCCUAUAUUAAAGCUGCUAUACAGAAUCUGCAAAACAAACUGGGUGGUCAGUCCUGGCACUGCAUUACCAUAUUGAACUUCAGUCAGAGGAAGUCACAGUUGCCAAAAACUUUUUGAAGCUCAAGAGUGAGGCUGGUGCCAUCCCAGAUAUGUUAACAUUGUACAAUCUUCUGGAUAAUCAGAUUUUCCCCACACUGAAAACUGUUAUUCAGGUUGCCCU